rnacentral:rRNA from 1 species
AGUAGUAGUUAUGUUCUUGAACUUAAAAAAUUUGGCGGUAUUUUAGUCUAUUCAGAGGAACCUGUUUUAUAAUCGAUAAUCCACGAUGGACCUUACUUAAAUUUGUAUUCAGUUUAUAUACCGUCGUUAUUAGAAUAUUUUAUUAGAAUGAUAAUAUUUAUAAUUUUUUAUAAAAAAAUAUAUCAGAUCAAGGUGUAACUAAUAUUUAAGUUUUAAUGGGUUACAAUAAAUUUAUUUAUAUGGAUAUAAAUUUGAAAUGUUUAUUGAAAUUGGAUUUGAAAGUAAAAUUAUAUAGAUAAAUAAUUUGAUUUUAGCUCUAAAAUAUGCACAAAUCGCCCG